rnacentral:tRNA from 1 species
GCCGGGAUGGCGGAACGGUAGACGCGGCGGUUUCAAAAACCGUUUGGGGAAACUCAGUGCGGGUUCGAAUCCCGCUCCCGGCA